AACGAACGCUGGCGGCAUGCCUAACACAUGCAAGUCGAACGAACCCUUCGGGGUUAGUGGCGCACGGGUGCGUAACGCGUGGGAAUCUGCCCUUUGCUUCGGAAUAACAGUUAGAAAUGACUGCUAAUACCAGAUGAUGUCUUCGGACCAAAGAUUUAUCGGCAAAGGAUGAGCCCGCGUAGGAUUAGGUAGUUGGUGGGGUAAAGGCCUACCAAGCCGACGAUCCUUAGCUGGUCUGAGAGGAAGAUCAGCCACACUGGGACUGAGACACGGCCCAGACUCCUACGGGAGGCAGCAGUGGGGAAUAUUGGACAAUGGGCGCAAGCCUGAUCCAGCAAUGCCGCGUGAGUGAUAAAGGCCUUUCGGGUCGUA
rnacentral:rRNA from 1 species